UCUGUGUCUCCUCCGGAGAGCAUCCAAGAUGAAGAACGGAGCGAAGACAGCGGGGUGAAGGCCAAGCUGCAGGACAAGGAGGAGGAGGAAAGCGACGGAGAGAAGAGCGAUUGCAACCUGAUUGUGGACGAGGAACGUGGGAGUGUUUGCAUUCUCCCUACCUCCGUAGAAAACGCGGUUGAGUAUUUGCAGCUGGAUUUUCCUUCCUUUGUGCCAAUUGGUGCCCCCCACAAAUACCCACUGUGGGCAGCUUCUGGAAAAUGCCUGGCUUGGGAUCAAAGCCGCAUGCAUCUCACCUAAACCCAAAGACGGAC